UACAGAGGUCCCAAGCGUUGUUCGGAUUCACUGGGCGUAAAGGGUGCGUAGGUGGUUGGGUAAGUCUGGUGUGAAAUCUCCGAGCUCAACUCGGAAAUGGCAUCGGAUACUAUCUGGCUAGAGGAGUGGAGGGGGGACUGGAAUACUUGGUGUAGCAGUGAAAUGCGUAGAUAUCAAGUGGAACACCAGUGGCGAAGGCGAGUCCCUGGACACUUCCUGACACUGAGGCACGAAAGCUAGGGGAGCAAACAGG
rnacentral:rRNA from 1 species